rnacentral:siRNA from 1 species
GUUGGUGGAGCGAUUUGUC